ACACAGGAUACAGGCCAUUGUCAGCAGCGGUCAAUCUUCCUCCUCGCCCACUCUCCCAGCCUCUCUCCCUCGCACACCAGAAGAGAGGAGACGAGCGGAUGGGAGACAUUAGCGGGCGGUGACUGGUCAUAGUGGAGUGAGGCUGUGGCAGAAAGGCGUAAUUUGAGUAAAGAACCACAAGAUUUAAAGCACACUGGUUAGUGAGGAUAGCUAAGACGCCUCGUGGUGUUCGUGAGUGGGGAAAAGCGACCGUGCAACUCACCUUGGUGCAAGAAGAUGAGUGGAGGAGCGUCACUGUUACUGUGGAUGUUGAUUGUGAUGAUGGUGGGCAUGUCUAGCAGGUGUCGAGCACUGUCGUGCGGGCCGUGCAACCUGAAUUCCUGCCCUGAUGUCUCGCGUUGCACCCAUGGCACGGUGCGCUCCGUCUGCGACUGCUGCCACGUAUGUAGAAAGGGGCCUGGGGAAAGCUGCGGAGGGCCGUGGGGCACUGGAGGGCACUGCAAGGAGGGACUGAAAUGCCUGCCUAACUUUAACGUCGCCCAUUUGCCCAAAGAACUUACGAAACACUUAAUGGGCACGUGUAAAGUGGUACCAGAGGCGCCCUCUUGCUAGGCCAAGCGCUAGUGGCUAGAUCUUGUCAGCGCAGGUUAAUAGGUUCUCUUUGUGGAUAGGGAGAGGCGAGCCUAAAAUUAAGUAUUUGACAAUAUCAUCUAUGAAACUGACAAAGGGCAAAGGGCAAAGAAGUACAUGCGUUCACCACUGUCUUCAGAAUUAUGUGUUGGACUUGUAAUCGCUAGCCACUCCCUCAGAGAAAGCUUGCAAUCCGCUCUAUGGGGCAAGACUGGGACGUUCACCUGUGAUGAGCAGCAUUUAAAUACAUUUGUAAUUAAAUACAUAUUCAAAUAAUAUAUUAAUGUAUUUAGAACUGUAUUUAUAAUCCAUUGGUUUAUACGCAUUUAAUGCACCUUUUUGAUAACUCACUAAGUCAAUUCAGAUGUUGAAAGAGAAGUUUAAAUAC